UACGGGGGGAGCAAGCGUUGUUCGGAUUUACUGGGCGUAAAGGGCGCGUAGGCGGCCACCGCAAGUCGACUGUGAAAUCUCCGGGCUUAACCCGGAAAGGUCAGCCGAUACUGCGGGGCUAGAGUGCAGAAGGGGCAACUGGAAUUCUCGGUGUAGCGGUGAAAUGCGUAGAUAUCAGGAGGAACACCGAUGGCGAAGGCAGAUCUCUGGGCCGUAACUGACGCUGAGGAGCGAAAGCAUGGGGAGCGAACAGG
rnacentral:rRNA from 1 species